UACCUUUGAACUCUUUCAAGGUUUCUUUGUUAUCAAUACUUUGACUAAUUUAGAUAAGGUGCCAUGAUGGUCUUUUAUAUGGUAGUUCAUAAUAAACUACCCAUAUAAACUAAUCAAUGAUCGUAGGAUCAAAUCCAUAAGCAAUUUCUUAUGCAUGAUCAUGUUGAGCCUUUUGAGCUCUUUAAUAUCUUUGAUCAUUAUCAAAUAACGAUCAU
rnacentral:lncRNA from 1 species